rnacentral:lncRNA from 1 species
GACCACCUAAGCUAGAUAUGUCUACUACAACCUUUAUGUGUUCAUGUGGUGCUUCUAACUUAUUCACCUUUCUCCCAUGAAGACAACCUUCAGCUCACCACGAUCCUACAAUAAUCAACAAAUACAUACAUAAGACACUUAAUUAAUGUUCAUUACUUACCAAACCGUCUCAUAACUGUAUGGCCACAUGAUCUUCAUAAUUA